AAACCCAAGGAAAUUAUAUGAUCUAGCGUUAUGUCCAUACGUUUGGGUAGCUAGGAUUGGAUCUCUCUAUUUCUUAAUGCAAUUGACAAUUGUUUUGAUGCCUAAGGCCCAAGGACGUUCCUUGGCAAUUUGUUAAUUAGUAAUUAAUUAGAGGACGUUUCCUAAUUGGUUUAAUCAUAAGGAGAGAUAAUAGUGGUGAGAAGCGUCUUCCAUCUCCAUAACUAAUCUAUUGAAUCAACCCAAA
rnacentral:lncRNA from 1 species